UAUAGGUUUGGUCCUAGCCUUACUAUUAGCUAUUAGUAGCCUUACACAUGCAAGCUUCCACGCCCCGGUGAAAAUGCCCUCCAGAUCCUUACUGACCAAAAGGAGCGGGCAUCAAGCACACAACUCAUGUAGCUCAUAACGCCUUGCUAAACCACACCCCCACGGGACACAGCAGUGACUAACCUUAAGCAAUAAACGAAAGUUUGACUAAGCUAUACUACAUUCAUUCAAACAGGGUUGGCAAAUCUCGUGCCAGCCGCCGCGGCCACACGAUUAACCCAAGCUAAUAGCCCUACCGGCGUUGAGCGUGUUUAAGAAUACUAGAACUAAAACUAAGCUUUAGCCAAGCCGUAAAAAGCCCUGGCCAAAAUAAAAAUAACCUACGAAGGUAGUUUUAAUACCCUGAACACACGACAGCUAGGGUCCAAACUGGGAUUAGAUACCCCACUAUGCCUAGCCGUAAACCCCAAUGGCUAAUAAACAAAGUUAUUCGCCAGAGUACUAUAGGCAACAGCCCAAAACUCAAAGGACUUGGCGGUGCUUUAUACCCCCCUAGAGGAGCCUGUUCUAUAAUCGAUAAACCCCGAUAAACCUCACCACCCCUUGCCAAUCCAACCUAUAUACCGCCAUCUUCAGCAAACCCUACUAAGGUCCUAAAGUAAGCCCAAACAUAACCGUAUAAAAACGUUAGGUCAAGGUGUAGUCUAUGAGGUGGGAAGAAAUGGGCUACAUUUUCUAAAUAUAGAAUAUUCCGCACGACAACCUCUAUGAAACUCAAUAGGCCGAAGGAGGAUUUAGAAGUAAAUUGAGAAUAGAGAGCUCAGUUGAAUAGGGCCAUGAAGCACGCACACACCGCCCGUCACCCUCCUCAAGUAAAUCAAAUAACUACAACUAAGCUAUGAACUACCACAAGAGGAGAUAAGUCGUAACAAGGUAAGCAUACUGGAAAGUGUGCUUGGAGUAAU
rnacentral:ncRNA from 1 species